UACCGGCGCUCCGAGUGGCGACCACGUUUACUGGGCCUAAAGCGUCCGUAGCCGGUUAAGUAAAUCCCUUGUGAAAUUGUCGCGCUUAACGCGACAGCGUGCAGGGGAGACUGCUUAACUAGGGACCGGAAGGCGCAGGAGGUAUUCCGGAGGGAGCGGUAAAAUGCUAUAAUCUCCGGAGGACCACCGGUGGCGAAGGCGUCCUGCGAGGACGGGUCCGACGGUGAGGGACGAAGGCUGGGGGAGCAAACCGG
rnacentral:rRNA from 1 species